UGAAGAGUUUGAUCAUGGCUCAGAUUGAACGCUGGCGGCAGGCCUAACACAUGCAAGUCGAACGGUAACAGGAAGCAGCUUGCUGCUUUGCUGACGAGUGGCGGACGGGUGAGUAAUGUCUGGGAAACUGCCUGAUGGAGGGGGAUAACUACUGGAAACGGUGGCUAAUACCGCAUAACGUCGCAAGACCAAAGAGGGGGACCUUCGGGCCUCUUGCCAUCAGAUGUGCCCAGAUGGGAUUAGCUUGUUGGUGAGGUAACGGCUCACCAAGGCGACGAUCCCUAGCUGGUCUGAGAGGAUGACCAGCCACACUGGAACUGAGACACGGUCCAGACUCCUACGGGAGGCAGCAGUGGGGAAUAUUGCACAAUGGGCGCAAGCCUGAUGCAGCCAUGCCGCGUGUAUGAAGAAGGCCUUCGGGUUGUAAAGUACUUUCAGCGGGGAGGAAGGUGUUGUGGUUAAUAACCGCAGCAAUUGACGUUACCCGCAGAAGAAGCACCGGCUAACUCCGUGCCAGCAGCCGCGGUAAUACGGAGGGUGCAAGCGUUAAUCGGAAUUACUGGGCGUAAAGCGCACGCAGGCGGUCUGUCAAGUCGGAUGUGAAAUCCCCGGGCUCAACCUGGGAACUGCAUUCGAAACUGGCAGGCUUGAGUCUUGUAGAGGGGGGUAGAAUUCCAGGUGUAGCGGUGAAAUGCGUAGAGAUCUGGAGGAAUACCGGUGGCGAAGGCGGCCCCCUGGACAAAGACUGACGCUCAGGUGCGAAAGCGUGGGGAGCAAACAGGAUUAGAUACCCUGGUAGUCCACGCCGUAAACGAUGUCUACUUGGAGGUUGUGCCCUUGAGGCGUGGCUUCCGGAGCUAACGCGUUAAGUAGACCGCCUGGGGAGUACGGCCGCAAGGUUAAAACUCAAAUGAAUUGACGGGGGCCCGCACAAGCGGUGGAGCAUGUGGUUUAAUUCGAUGCAACGCGAAGAACCUUACCUGGUCUUGACAUCCACGGAAGUUUUCAGAGAUGAGAAUGUGCCUUCGGGAACCGUGAGACAGGUGCUGCAUGGCUGUCGUCAGCUCGUGUUGUGAAAUGUUGGGUUAAGUCCCGCAACGAGCGCAACCCUUAUCCUUUGUUGCCAGCGGUCCGGCCGGGAACUCAAAGGAGACUGCCAGUGAUAA
rnacentral:rRNA from 1 species